UGAUGUAUGGAACAUUUCAUUGUCUGACUGAUUUGUUUCUUUGACUAUUUCUUAAAUCUUUGAUCGAUGUUUUGUUUCAUACUUGUUAAGUUCUUCCAUACGAAAAGAGCUUUGAUUUGCUGCAAGGUUUUAUCUCCUUAAAAGGAGAUGACACGAAGACUUCCCUGGUCACUGCAGGAGCUGUACAUAGAUGCUUCUCUUGUUACUUUAUUUAUUCAAUGUUUCCACAGUUGCUCUUGGUGUUGGAGGCUGAGGUUAGGCAGUAAAGAGUCAUGACAGACAUUGGCUGGUUUUCAGUUGCUGCAAACCACACUAGUUCUCUAUUUAGGGCUGCCUUUGCCCCCUCAGCUUAUUAUUUUUCUGUUGUAAUGUAUCUUGACUUUGUCACAAUGUAGUGUGAUCACAACAAACCACUUGUGUAUAAAUUAACUGUUUGUUCUACGGUGUUCAGAGGAACAGUAGACUUC